rnacentral:rRNA from 1 species
GUGGGGAAUAUUGCACAAUGGGCGCAAGCCUGAUGCAGCAACGCCGCGUGCGGGAUGACGGCCUUCGGGUUGUAAACCGCUUUCAGUAGGGACGAAGCGAAAGUGACGGUACCUACAGAAGAAGGACCGGCUAACUACGUGCCAGCAGCCGCGGUGAUACGUAGGGUCCGAGCGUUGUCCGGAAUUAUUGGGCGUAAAGGGCUUGUAGGCGGUCCGUCGCGUCAGGAGUGAAAACUCGGGGCUUAACCCCGAGCCUGCUUUUGAUACGGGCGGACUAGAGGGAUGCAGGGGAGAACGGAAUUCCUGGUGGAGCGGUGGAAUGCGCAGAUAUCAGGAGGAACACCGGUGGCGAAGGCGGUUCUCUGGGCAUCACCUGACGCUGAGAAGCGAAAGCGUGGGGAGCAAACAGG